GACAUAGGUGGCGAACGUUAUCCGGAUUUAUUGGGCGUAAAGGAUGCGUAGGUGGUGGAAUAAGUUAUUGGUCGAGGUCAAGCUCAACUUGGCGGAAGCUGAUAAUACUGUUCUACUUGAGGGCAGGAGAGGUUGGCGGAAUUCUGUGUGGAGCGGUGAAAUGCGUUGAUCUACAGAGGAACACCAAAAAGGGCGAAGGCAGCCAACUAUUCUGAUCCUGACAUUGAGGCAUGAAAGCGUGGGGAGCAAACCGG
rnacentral:rRNA from 1 species